UACCUCCUGACGCGUGCGCAUGAAUGCAUGCGCCGCCUUUCCUGAUGUGCACUCCAGCCUUGUGCAAACAUCCGCUCCGCUGAGCGUGUUCCAUCAUGCAGCUUUGCUUGGGACGCCUCCAUGUCUGCUUCUCUUGCUUGUACUCACUCACUCUUUAUCCCAUGCUGGUUGGGAAAUCUCUAUGAAGCUGACAGUAAUCUUCCUUUCCUGACUUAGCUUCCCAAGUACUGGAAUUGUAGGUGUGAGCCACCGCAGCCUGCUAACCCUCUUGCCUUUUAAAGCACAUCAUUUUUACUGUGACGAUGGACACUAGCGCUAUCUGUCUCUGGGCCACCAAGGACCUCUGAAGCCUUCUUGGUGACCUGGCUUAAUCUGGUGUUUUGUUUUGUUUUGCAUCCUGUGGUUUUCUAAUGGAUUUUCAGAACUUUUGCAACCUCUUAGCUAUUCAAGCUCCAUUUCUUAAAUUUUAAGAACUUAAACUGAGGGCUGGUAAGAUGGCUCAACAGUUAAAAGUGCUUGCCAGGCCUGCAGGUCAGAGAGGACGUCAGAUCUUAUUACAGAGAAUUGUGAGCCACCAUGUGGUUGCUGGGAAUUGAACUCAGGACCUCUGGAAGAGCAAGGAAUGCUCUUAUCUUCUGAGCCAUCUCUCCAGCC
rnacentral:lncRNA from 1 species